AUGGCUGUCAAAUCAAAGGUAGGUGCCCUGUUUAUCUAAUGGUUCCUGGUGAUAUUUUCUCAUGCCCUCCAAAGGAACCCUUGUGGAGAUGAAGGUUGCAUAAAAAGCAAUCUACAGAGCCAGAAAUGUAGCAAAGCCAGAGUCAAACAAACACACAACUGAUAACUGCACCUCUGGGAAGAGGAGCUACAAGUCUGAAGAACAAAGGUGUUCCAAAAAGCUGGAAGGAACGGGAGAAGGGACACACAGAGGGUCAAAUUUCUCAUAACAGUUGUUUUGGAGCUCCAGUGUCAAUGGACAGAAAGGGGUCGAAGAGGAAAACAUCUGAGAGAUUCUCCUCCUGCAUCCUAACACAAAACUAUUUAUUAUAAA